GCUAGGUCUUAAACUUCAAAAUUGAAUAAUACCUAUUUUUUCUUGGUGUAUAUUUUCUCUAGUUAAAUGUUUCAUGCUUAUUUAUUUCUCACAUACCAAGUCCUAUGGAUAGGCUAAGAAGAUGCUACUACUAUUUUAAACAUGGAUGCCUUUUUUUUUGCACUGAACUAUUAUGUUUUAGAUGGUGAUGCCAGGAGACCCUGUAGAAAUGACAGAAUUUCAGGAUAAAGCAAUCAGCAAUUCUCACUAUGUGCUGGAACUUACGUUACCAAAUAUUUAUGUAACACUACCUAAUAAGAGCUUUUAUGAGAAGCUUUAUAAUAGGACUGAGGGGAGGGUCAGUGAGAUGAUGCAGGAUCAGUUCCAGUUUACAAAGUGCUCUCAUAUAGGAUCUUUAAUGACUUGCUACUGUGGGAACCAACAGCUCCUUCACCAGUGGAGACAUUCGAGAAUAUUUCCUAUGGCAUUGGGCUUUCAGUAGCCAGUCAGCUCAUUAAUACUUUCAACAAAGAUAGUUUUAGU
rnacentral:lncRNA from 1 species